ACUGACUGGCACACCUACAAAAAUCUUAUCUUUGGGGUCCCCAUAGUACCCAGUGGAUUGCCUUGCACAUUGUAGGUGCUCAGUAUGUGUUUGCUAAAGACAUGACCCUGGAUAAAUCACUUCACCUCAAUUAGUCUGUUUCCCAAAUCUGAAAAUAAAAGCAGUGAAAUGGACAAGGUGACAGUUAAGGCCUUGAAUCAGAAGAGCCUCUGACAAUGUGACAAAUAGCUUAUGCUUGCUGAAUGGCUGACUUCUCUGAAAGGGAAAACAGCAGAAUCUGAGAGGGGAGAGUGGAGCGGAGUUCUUCCUCCCCUGUGCUAACAGGUAUGUGAUUCCUAUUAUUGUCUUUGGUGGGAAGGGAAGCAUGAGGCAGGCCCCUGGUCUACAGUGGAAGUGAAGCCUGAGGAUAGGCUAAGAAUUAGGGAAAUUAACAGGCUCCUAGGAGUCAGAAUGCUCAGCUUCUAUUCCCAGCACUGCUUAAAAUUUUCAGGGGAAAGUACUUUAUAAUCCUUGCAGCAUUUGGUGCCUUUAUUAGAAAAUCCUUUUAUGUGAGAUUUUGAGUUUCUUAUUUUCUCUCCUCACCAGGAUAAUGCACAGAAAGAGCUGAGGUGGGAGUCCGAGAGACAGGGGUCUGACAUGUAUAAUAUACUCUGCUGCACAGGAUUAUCAUGAGGGUUAAAUGAAAUAAUAAAUGUAGAUUACACUUAGCUCAGGACCUGCCAC
rnacentral:lncRNA from 1 species